CCUACGGGAGGCAGCAGUGAGGAAUAUUGGUCAAUGGGCGCGAGCCUGAACCAGCCAAGUCGCGUGAGGGAAGACGGCCCUACGGGUUGUAAACCUCUUUUGUCGGGGAGCAAGGACUGCCACGUGUGGCAGGGCGAGAGUACCCGAAGAAAAAGCAUCGGCUAACUCCGUGCCAGCAGCCGCGGUAAUACGGAGGAUGCGAGCGUUAUCCGGAUUUAUUGGGUUUAAAGGGUGCGUAGGCGGAAGUUCAAGUCAGCGGUAAAAUUGAGGGGCUCAACCCCUUUAAGCCGUUGAAACUGGGUUUCUUGAGUGGGCGAGAAGUGUGCGGAAUGUGUGGUGUAGCGGUGAAAUGCAUAGAUAUCACACAGAACUCCGAUUGCGAAGGCAGCACACCGGCGCCCAACUGACGCUGAGGCACGAAAGCGUGGGGAUCAAACAGGAUUAGAUACCCUGGUAGUC
rnacentral:rRNA from 1 species